GACGAACGCUGGCGGCGUGCUUAACACAUGCAAGUCGAACGGAAAGGCCCUGCUUUUGUGGGGUGCUCGAGUGGCGAACGGGUGAGUAACACGUGAGUAACCUGCCCUUGACUUUGGGAUAACUCCAGGAAACUGGGGCUAAUACCGGAUAGGAGCUCCUGCUGCAUGGUGGGGGUUGGAAAGUUUCGGCGGUUGGGGAUGGACUCGCGGCUUAUCAGCUUGUUGGUGGGGUAGUGGCUUACCAAGGCUUUGACGGGUAGCCGGCCUGAGAGGGUGACCGGCCACAUUGGGACUGAGAUACGGCCCAGACUCCUACGGGAGGCAGCAGUGGGGAAUAUUGCACAAUGGGCGGAAGCCUUAUGCAGCAACGCCGCGUGCGGGAUGACGGCCUUCGGGUUGUAAACCGCUUUCGCCUGUGACGAAGCGUGAGUGACGGUAAUGGGUAAAGAAGCACCGGCUAACUACGUG
rnacentral:rRNA from 1 species